ACUGCUGAGCACCCGUGCCCAGCUGGCACUCUGGUAACGAGGAAGCGAGGAAGGAAAAACAACAAACCCCGGCUCAGCAAAGGAGGUGAAAACCACCGAAGUCAAAUCACAUUUCCCAGCGUGGUGGCACAGACAACACGGACUGUCUCCCAUCUGGAGGAAGCCUGGCAGCUGAGCAGACCGUGGUGACGCUUCCAAUGAACUCUCGGAGCCAAACGUGAGGUUGCUGAGCUGAGGGUUGUGCUUAAAUGUGGUUGGUGAGGUCCCAGCAGCCCAUGAUGUCUGUGGGCAGCAGAACAGCUCCAGCACCCCUGUCCCUUUCCAUGGCCCCCGGCGUGGCAGCGUAGUGCAGGGGAGAUGGACGGGCCGUGGUAGGAUGAGCCCUGCCCCGCUCCUGCUGCUCUCCCUGGCCAGCUGCUCCCUGCUCCAGGGUAAGCCAGUGCUGAAGCUGUCACCACAGUCUCGGGGGGCCCUGGCUGCAGGGCAGGAGGAGGCACAGGGACACCUCUCAGAACUACUGAAGUUACCUGUGAAGAGGAGAGGCUCAAGUGGUCGUCAAGGGAUGCUACUGAGGCCACAGCACGUGAGGCUGGAGGCACAGAACUUCCACGUCCAGCUGCACUGG
ensembl:lncRNA